GAACUUCACAACACUGUUUAUUUUCAACACUUCGAUACUUGUCAGGAAAAUUGUUGGAAUCGACUUCCGGCGAGGUGGUCAGCUCCAACCAGGAGGGGAGGUGACUCGAUCAUCUGAGGCGCGGCUCUGUUCCUCGUCCCGAGGAACCAAUUUCAAGGGUAACCAGCCACAUCCGCCACAACCUCCAUGUUAAAUUUGGUCACACUAGAAGGCUCGAAACACUGCGCCACGUCUUUUCCCAGUGUCCCUGAUUCAAGAAGAUCAUCAUCAUCAACUGGUGUUUCCUGGUGCUAGGCCUGGAAAUUGAUCAAUGCUUUGCAAUCUGGCCAUUCCAUACACGAUCAUCAGGGGCACAGGAAGGUGGCGCGGCAUCAAUCGAAUGGCGGAGAGGAUGAAGAGCGACAUGUUGCGCCUGCAGGACCCUCCACGACAAGCAGCAUCGAACGAUGAAGCGCAAAUGCGAGCAGUCUCAGUCCACCAACAGACAGCGAUCCGGAUUUAAGUCUCUUUCUGGUGGACGUCUGGAGCACAGUCUGAACCCCCCAAUGGAGGAUCGGGCAGCGACUACCGCCCAAUUUAGUUGACUAGCCGAUCUCCAGCAGAAGGUCUGCCUCAACAACCGGGACAACCGCCUCCGCUGCCUUACUAAAAUCAGCAAGAAGACGCAUUCAAAGCCCUAGUCGAGCAGGAGCCUUCCAGAAGGAGUAGCGGAUGCAGUCCGACCUCGAGAAGGCCCAGAAAUAUGUUCGCGGGAAAAGGAGAUGCAAAUGCCGCAGGGACUGCCAUCUCCACUGGCAAUGCCGGUGGCGAAAGUGGCAACUGCCGCGGCUUAUGCCGCGGGAAUCUGAUUAACGACCAACUUAACAUCCAUCUUGACCGAUCUCGAAAGGAACUUCUUCCUGUUGAACCCACUCGACGUGGCCGCAGGCCACUCUUCAUGUUCCGUUGGUCACUAGCUAAAAGUGGCUUGUUUUUCAUUGGAAGAAGCAUCAGCAUGGACUGAUGGACUGAUGGACUGAUGGUAGGAGUUUGGUCCGAAUCCAAAGCGUUGACCACGUUCUAGGCCUGGGGACAGAAGACACUUGUUGAUGUUGAUGGUGUUCCUGGAUCAGUCCUCGCUGGAAGAAGUACUGGCGCAUCGUUCCGAUCCAGCCAGAUUGAACAUAUUGAACAUGGGGGGGCUGCGCGUUUAUGGCUCCGGCUCCUUCUACACCUACAACUACUAUGUUUCACUCGGCAGAUACCUAAAAGGCAUAAAAGUGUGUGAAAG